rnacentral:rRNA from 1 species
CCUACGGGGGGCAGCAGUGGGGAAUCUUUGACAAUGGGGGCAACCCUGAUCCAGCCAUGCCGCGUGAUCGAUGAAGGCCUUAGGGUUGUAAAGAUCUUUCAGCUGGGAAGCGGUACCAGCAGAAGAAGCCCCGGCUAACUCCGUGCCAGCAGCCGCGGUAAUACGGAGGGGGCUAGCGUUGUUCGGAAUUACUGGGCGUAAAGCGCACGUAGGCGGACUGAUCAGUCAGGGGUGAAAUCCCGGGGCUCAACCCCGGAACUGCCUUUGAUACUGUCAGUCUGGAGGUCGAGAGAGGUGAGUGGAAUUCCGAGUGUAGAGGUGAAAUUCGUAGAUAUUCGGAGGAACACCAGUGGCGAAGGCGGCUCACUGGCUCGUCUGACGCUGAGGUGCGAAAGCGUGGGGAGCAAACAGGAUUAGAUACCCUUGUAGUC